CCCAGCUGCUCUGGCAGGGCUCUGAUUUAUUGGUACUUUCUGACCCUUCUUUCUCAGGUCUGCGAUGGCCUGGGAAGCUGAGGAGUCCUGCCCCUCCUGCCCCUAGGUGCAACCCCUUGGGGCCCUGCUGCCCCUCAGUAGGCAGAGGCCCAGGGAUGGCAGAGGAUACCCUUCCAGAGUGCUCGGGAGGAAGACCACAGCCCUACCUUCUGCCUGGCAUGCGUACCACCCCCAGCAGGACCUUGGCACAUGGCUCUGGAGAUGCUGCUCCCGGUAAUUGCGGUAAUCAGGAGUCAUGUCUCAAGUCCACUUCCCUGUUCUAUUUGCUAUGGUCACAUUCAGGGUGAGCCGUAGUUUCCAGCUGGAUUUCGGGCCCUUGCACAGAUGGACUGAAAUGUACCCAAGACUGCCAAGGACUCCCCAAGGGUAAAUGAAUUUUGCGUUUUCUCAGAGAGGGAUUUCCAAGAAUUGUGAAGUAGCACUGUGCUAGCUCUGGGGGAGGCUUCUGUCUCCUGAAAUUUUCACCAUCAUUCCAAGCUGAGCGGGUCAUCCAGAGACUGUAGGAGUGACUGAGAGUCCCCCAACCUCCUCCGUACACACAAGGAAACUACUUUCUAGAGAACUUCCUCUAAUCACUGAUCUCCAGCAAAACAAGCAAACCAGCCUGUCCUUGGCUUUGCAGUUGGCCAAAAUGGAGUCAGCCUCUGCUCAGCAAGCCCUGCUGUGAGUGGGCACUGUGCUCACAGUGAGCUGUGUGCUAUUUCUUGAAUCUCCCAAUGGCCCUGCCUGUCUCUUGUCCAUCUUGGGAAGGAAGGGAUGCCUAGGAAGGGUGACAAGCCAAGCCAUCCCAGGGUCGGCUUCUGAGCUGAGCUGCACCCCAGCUCCCUCUGCCCACACAGCCCAGCACCACAGCAUGGAGAGAGCCAAGGUGUCCCCACCCUUCCUUCCUCCGCAUGAUCUGUAGCUGAACGUGACUGCCAGGGGAGCAGUGUCAGAUGGGGGUGUGCAUAGACCCACUCAGUUUGCAGGGCUAGGUCUGCUCAGGUCCGCUCACGAUGCCAACAAAUAUGGCUAACAAAGGAUGGAGAGGAUCCCGGAUUCCUCACCCC
rnacentral:lncRNA from 1 species